rnacentral:rRNA from 1 species
AUUGAACGCUGGCGGCAUGCCUUACACAUGCAAGUCGAACGGCAGCACGGGAGCAAUCCUGGUGGCGAGUGGCGAACGGGUGAGUAAAGUAUCGGAACGUACCUUUCAGUGGGGGAUAACGUAGCGAAAGUUACGCUAAUACCGCAUAUUCUGUGAGCAGGAAAGCAGGGGAGUCGCAAGACCUUGCGCUGAUGGAGCGGCCGAUAUCAGAUUAGCUAGUUGGUGAGGUAAAGGCUCACCAAGGCGACGAUCUGUAGCGGGUCUGAGAGGAUGAUCCGCCACACUGGGACUGAGACACGGCCCAGACUCCUACGGGAGGCAGCAGUGGGGAAUAUUGCACAAUGGGCGCAAGCCUGAUGCAGCCAUGCCACGUGUAU